CCUACGGGUGGCAGCAGUGGGGAAUAUUGGUCAAUGGAGGAAACUCUGAACCAGCAACGCCGCGUGAAUGAUGAAGGUCUUCGGAUUGUAAAGUUCUUUUCUAAGGGAAGAAAAAGGUGACAGUACCUUAUGAAUAAGCCUCUGCUAACUACGUGCCAGCAGCCGCGGUAAUACGGAGGAGGCGAGCGUUAUCCGGAUUGACUGGGCGUAAGGGGUGCGUAGGUGGUUUGACAAGUUGGUAGCGUAACUCCGAGGCUCAACCUCGGCACUACUACCAAAACUGUCGGACUUGAGUGCAGGAGCGGCAAUUGGAAUUCCUGGUGUAGCGGUGGAAUGCGCAGAUAUUAGGAGGAACACCGGUGGCGAAGGCGAAUUGCUGGACUGCAACUGACACUGAGGCACGAAAGCGUGGGGAGCAAACAGGAUUAGAUACCCGUGUAGUC
rnacentral:rRNA from 1 species